rnacentral:rRNA from 1 species
AGAUGUAACGGGGCUCAAACCAUACACCGAAGCUACGGGUAUCACGUAAGUGAUGCGGUAGAGGAGCGUUCUGUAAGCCUGUGAAGGUGAGUUGAGAAGCUUGCUGGAGGUAUCAGAAGUGCGAAUGCUGACAUGAGUAACGACAAUGGGUGUGAAAAACACCCACGCCGAAAGACCAAGGUUUCCUGCGCAACGUUAAUCGACGCAGGGUUAGUCGGUCCCUAAGGCGAGGCUGAAAAGCGUAGUCGAUGGAAAACAGGUUAAUAUUCCUGUACUUCUGGUUAUUGCGAUGGAGGGACGGAGAAGGCUAGGCCAGCUUGGCGUUGGUUGUCCAAGUUUAAGGUGGUAGGCUGAGAUCUUAGGUAAAUCCGGGAUCUUAAGGCCGAGAGCUGAUGACGAGUUGUCUUUUAGAUGACGAAGUGGUUGAUGCCAUGCUUCCAAGAAAAGCUUCUAAGCUUCAGGUAACCAGGAACCGUACCCCAAACCGACACAGGU